ACGAACGCUGGCGGCGUGGAUAAGACAUGCAAGUCGAACGGGAGAAUUGCUAGCUUGCUAAUAAUUCUCUAGUGGCGCACGGGUGAGUAACACGUGAGUAACCUGCCUCUUAGUGGGGGAUAGCCCUGGGAAACCGGGAUUAAUACCGCAUACGAUUGAAAGAUCAAAGCAGCAAUGCGCUAGGAGAUGGGCUCGCGGCCUAUUAGUUAGUUGGUGAGGUAACGGCUCACCAAGGCGAUGACGGGUAGCCGGUCUGAGAGGAUGUCCGGCCACACUGGAACUGAGACACGGUCCAGACACCUACGGGUGGCAGCAGUCGAGAAUCAUUCACAAUGGGGGCAACCCUGAUGGUGCGACGCCGCGUGGGGGAAUGAAGGUCUUCGGAUUGUAAACCCCUGUCAUGUGGGAGCAAAUUAAAAAGAUAGUACCACAAGAGGAAGAGACGGCUAACUCUGUGCCAGCAGCCGCGGUAAUACAGAGGUCUCAAGCGUUGUUCGGAAUCACUGGGCGUAAAGCGUGCGUAGGCUGUUUCGUAAGUCGUGUGUGAAAGGCAGGGGCUCAAUCCAUGGAUUGCACAUGAUACUGCGAGACUAGAGUAAUGGAGGGGGAACCGGAAUUCUCGGUGUAGCAGUGAAAUGCGUAGAUAUCGAGAGGAACACUCGUGGCGAAGGCGGGUUCCUGGACAUUAACUGACGCUGAGGCACGAAGGCCAGGGGAGCGAAAGGGAUUAGAUACCCCUGUAGUCCUGGCAGUAAACGGUGCACGCUUGGUGUGCGGGGAAUCGACCCCCUGCGUGCCGGAGCUAACGCGUUAAGCGUGCCGCCUGGGGAGUACGGUCGCAAGAUUAAAACUCAAAGAAAUUGACGGGGACCCGCACAAGCGGUGGAGUAUGUGGCUUAAUUCGAUGCAACGCGAAGAACCUUACCUGGGCUUGACAUGUAAUGAACAACAUGUGAAAGCAUGCGACUCUUCGGAGGCGUUACACAGGUGCUGCAUGGCCGUCGUCAGCUCGUGUCGUGAGAUGUUUGGUUAAGUCCAGCAACGAGCGCAACCCCUGUUGCCAGUUACCAGCACGUCAAGGUGGGGACUCUGGCGAGACUGCCCAGAUCAACUGGGAGGAAGGUGGGGACGACGUCAGGUCAGUAUGGCCCUUAUGCCCAGGGCUGCACACGUACUACAAUGCCCAGUACAGAGGGGGCCGAAGCCGCGAGGCGGAGGAAAUCCUGAAAACUGGGCCCAGUUCGGACUGUAGGCUGCAACCCGCCUACACGAAGCCGGAAUCGCUAGUAAUGGCGCAUCAGCUACGGCGCCGUGAAUACGUUCCCGGGUCUUGUACACACCGCCCGUCACAUCAUGGAAGCCGGUCGCACCCGAAGUAUCUGAAGCCAACCGCAAGGAGGCAGGGUCCUAAGGUGAGACUGGUAACUGGGAUG
rnacentral:rRNA from 1 species